GAAACAUAAGAAUUCGUUUCUUAAUUUUUAACUAAAAAAAUUAAAAACUGGUUUUUAAAUAAGAAUUUUAAGAUACGGUUCUUAUCGUUUUUAGUUAAAAAUUAAGAGACGAGUUCUUAUAUUCC
rfam:Brassica oleracea var. oleracea cultivar TO1000 chromosome C5, whole genome shotgun sequence